rnacentral:rRNA from 1 species
CUCCAGACUCCUACGGGAGGCAGCAGUGGGGAAUAUUGGGCAAUGGGCGCAAGCCUGACCCAGCGACGCCGCGUGAGGGAAGACGGUCUUCGGAUUGUAAACCUCUUUCAGCAGGGAAGACAAAAGGACGGUACCUGCAGAAGAAGCCACGGCUAACUACGUGCCAGCAGCCGCGGUAAUACGUAGGUGGCAAGCGUUAUCCGGAAUUACUGGGUGUAAAGGGUGUGUAGGCGGAAGGUUAAGUCAGCGGUAAAAUGUCGGUGCUAAACACCGGCCUGCCGUUGAAACUGGUCUUCUUGAGUGAGCGAGAAGUAUGCGGAAUGCGUGGUGUAGCGGUGAAAUGCAUAGAUAUCACGCAGAACUCCGAUUGCGAAGGCAGCAUACCGGCGCUCAACUGACGCUGAGGCACGAAAGCGUGGGGAUCGAACAGGAUUAGAUACCCGCGUAA